UUUUAUUCUUUAUUCUUGAGAUUGGCUUACGUGUGUGUCACAUUACUCUCAAUUAUUUAUCAUGGCUUAACCAUAUAUGAACUUUGGUCUAUUACUUAAGCUUAGGGUCCCGGAUAUGUAUCUGAUAAAUCCUUUUACACACCAGUGCUAUGCUUUGGGAAAAUCUAAAUAACGAUACCCUGAAUACUCUCCAGGUGAAAUGCUACAAUGGUAUAUCUGUGCACUUGCGAAUUUAUUCAUAAUGUUAAGAAAUACCAACACAUAGGCAUACAUCCACAAUGGGUACAAUGACACACUCUAACUAAUGGAGCACAACAACGCAUAGGCAUACAAGUGGUGCACCGACAUACUACUACCAUCAUGGGCUCAUGGCCACCCCACGGCAGCACGGAAUUUAGCAAAAC
rnacentral:lncRNA from 1 species